UACGUAGGGUGCAAGCGUUGUCCGGAAUUAUUGGGCGUAAAGAGCUCGUAGGCGGUCUGUCGCGUCUGCUGUGAAAACUCAGGGCUUAACCCUGAGCUUGCAGUGGGUACGGGCAGACUAGAGUGCGGUAGGGGAGACUGGAAUUCCUGGUGUAGUGGUGAAAUGCGUAGAUAUCGGGAGGAACACCAGUGGCGAAGGCGACUACCUGGCCUGUUCUUGACGCUGAGGCGCGAAAGCUAGGGGAGCAAACGGG
rnacentral:rRNA from 1 species